rnacentral:rRNA from 1 species
GCGAACGCUGGCGGCAGGCCUAACACAUGCAAGUCGAACGGACCCUUCGGGGUUAGUGGCGGACGGGUGAGUAACACGUGGGAACGUGCCUUUUGGUUCGGAACAACUCAGGGAAACUUGAGCUAAUACCGAAUGUGCCCUUCGGGGGAAAGAUUUAUCGCCAUUAGAGCGGCCCGCGUCUGAUUAGCUUGUUGGUGAGGUAAUGGCUCACCAAGGCUACGAUCAGUAGCUGGUCUGAGAGGAUGAUCAGCCACAUUGGGACUGAGACACGGCCCAAACUCCUACGGGAGGCAGCAGUGGGGAAUCUUGCGCAAUGGGCGAAAGCCUGACGCAGCCAUGCCGCGUGAAUGAUGAAGGUCUUAGGAUUGUAAAAUUCUUUCACCGGGGACGAUAAUGACGGUACCCGGAGAAGAAGCCCCGGCUAACUUCGU